rnacentral:rRNA from 1 species
AAUGAACGUUGGCGGCGUGGAUUAGGCAUGCAAGUCGAGCGAGAACCCCGCAAGGGGGGACAGCGGCGAAAGGGACAGUAAUGUGUAGAUUAUCUGCCCUCAGGUCCGGGAUAGCUGCGGGAAACUGCAGGUAAUACCGGAUAACAUCUCCGGAUCAAAGGUGUGAUUCCGCCUGAGGAUGAGUCUGCAUCCUAUUAGCUAGUUGGUGGGGUAAUGGCCUACCAAGGCAUUGAUGGGUAGCAGGUGUGAGAGCACGACCUGCGUCAUUGGGACUGAGACACUGCCCAGACACCUACGGGUGGCUGCAGUCGAGAAUCUUCGGCAAUGGGCGCAAGCCUGACCGAGCGACGCCGCGUGUGGGAUGAAGGCCUUCGGGUUGUAAACCACUGUCAGAGGGGAUGAAAUGCAGGUGGGUUCUCCCAUCUGUUUGACAUAGCCUCAGAGGAAGACGGGCUAAGUUCGUG